CAGGUUUAUCUUAAUCCAUCCCUGCAAGUGAUGGCCUCUAUAUUUUUAUCUGGUGGUCUACAAGGGCUUAGAAAUGAGCUGAAGUUCUGUGUUUGAGCUGGCUGAAUGAUGAUGGACAUUUCACUUUGUUGCAGGUACUAGAUCAAAGGAUUGGAGUUUGGGCUUUCAGCAUAACCUACCUCCUGCUUUCCCAGAUAAUAAAUGAAAAUGUAAUCACUUGUAUCACUUGUCAUCCCCUUGAUCUUCGAUUUGCUCGAGUGGGGGCCAGUAACGUCUCCGCUUGUCCCUGUCAAGUACUAGUGCAGCCCAAUGAUAUUUGCUUGCUCCAGGAACAGGAAGAGCCUCAAAUCGUUCAUUCAGGGAUUUGAUGAAGAAAUCUGACCAUCUAGUUGGUAGGCAUCCACGCAAUCUUCUGACAUCCCGUGGAAUCCAGCCUGUAAUAGCUCUAGUCCAGUGGUCAUCUCUGAAUCGCAUUACAUGACCGGGCCAUCUGAUUUUU